rnacentral:rRNA from 1 species
GACGAACGCUGGCGGCGUGCUUAACACAUGCAAGUCGAACGGUGAAGGUGGAGCUUGCUCCGCCGGAUCAGUGGCGAACGGGUGAGUAACACGUGGGCAACCUGCCCCAGACUUCGGGAUAACUCCUCGAAAGAGGCGCUAAUACCGGAUACGAGUUCUGCAGGCAUCUGCGGAACUGGAAAGUUUUUCGGUCUGGGAUGGGCCCGCGGCCUAUCAGCUUGUUGGUGAGGUAACGGCUCACCAAGGCGACGACGGGUAGCCGGCCUGAGAGGGCGACCGGCCACACUGGGACUGAGACACGGCCCAGACUCCUACGGGAGGCAGCAGUGGGGAAUAUUGCGCAAUGGGCGAAAGCCUGACGCAGCAACGCCGCGUGCGGGAUGAAGGCCUUCGGGUUGUAAACCGCUUUCAGCAGGGAAGAAGCGAAAGUGACGGUACCUGCAGAAGAAGCACCGGCUAACUACGUGCCAGCCGCCGCCGUAA